rnacentral:rRNA from 1 species
GCUCAGAUUGAACGCUGGCGGCAGGCUUAACACAUGCAAGUCGAGCGGGGAAGGGUAGCUUGCUACCUAACCUAGCGGCGGACGGGUGAGUAAUGCUUAGGAAUCUGCCAUUUAGUGGGGGACAACAUUCCGAAAGGAAUGCUAAUACCGCAUACGUCCUACGGGAGAAAGCAGGGGAUCUUCGGACCUUGCGCUAAAUGAUGAGCCUAAGUCGGAUUAGCUAGUUGGUGGGGUAAAGGCCUACCAAGGCGACGAUCUGUAGCGGGUCUGAGAGGAUGAUCCGCCACACUGGGACUGAGACACGGCCCAGACUCCUACGGGAGGCAGCAGUGGGGAAUAUUGGACAAUGGGCGGAAGCCUGAUCCAGCCAUGCCGCGUGUGUGAAGAAGGCCUUAUGGUUGUAAAGCACUUUAAGCGAGGAGGAGGCUACUUAGAUUAAUACUCUAGGAUAGUGGACGUUACUCGCAGAAUAAGCACCGGCUAACUCUGUGCCAGCAGCCGCGGUAAUACAGAGGGUGCGAGCGUUAAUCGGAUUUACUGGGCGUAAAGCGUGCGUAGGCGGCUUUUUAAGUCGGAUGUGAAAUCCCCGAGCUUAACUUGGGAAUUGCAUUCGAUACUGGGAAGCUAGAGUAUGGGAGAGGAUGGUAGAAUUCCAGGUGUAGCGGUGAAAUGCGUAGAGAUCUGGAGGAAUACCGAUGGCGAAGGCAGCCANUCNGGCCUA